rnacentral:tRNA from 1 species
CGGCGUGCGGCUCAACAGCAGAGCACCGGGCUCCCAACCCGGAGGGCGCAGGGGCAGCACCUGCCAUGCCGG